GGACCCUCUCCACAUCCCCACUGGUCCGCCCGGCGCCACCCGCCUCUUUAAGAGCCGAAGCCUCGCCCUUCGAGGGGCCGCGGAGGGAGCGAGCUUUGGAUGCAGUCGCCCGCUGAGGUCUCGGGAAGAGGCGUCUCCGGGAGCUGCUGUCUUUUUAAGGAGGCGGGGCUCUGCCCGGAGGAGGUGGAGAAGGUCUGGCCCCCGGAUCUCCGGUUUCCGGCAACUCGGCGGGACCAGAACCUGCGCGGAGAAUCUGAGGCCCGAGGCUUCCCGGCACCAGCUGGACGCCGAGCCCCCCGAGACCUCUAAAUUAUCUUCCUAAUAAUUGGGAGAAGACCCUUGGCUGAAUGGCAGCUGUAGAUGACUUGCGGUUUGAAGAAUUUGGUGAUACAGCCACUUCUCUAGCAGCAAACCCAGAUGCCACCACAAUAAGCAUCGAGGAUCCUGGUGAAACCCCAAAACACCAGCCAGGACCCCCAGGAGGCUCAAGGAGAGAAGAGGAUGAUGAGUUACUAGGAAAUGAUGACUCUGACAAAACUGAGUUACUUGCUGGACAGAAGAAAAGCUCCCCCUUCUGGACAUUUGAAUACUAUCAGACAUUCUUUGAUGUAGACACUUACCAGGUCUUUGACAGAAUAAAGGGGUCUCUUUUGCCAAUACCAGGAAAAAACUUUGUGAGGUUGUAUAUCCGCAGCAACCCAGAUCUCUAUGGCCCCUUUUGGAUAUGUGCCACGUUGGUCUUUGCCAUAGCAAUUAGUGGGAAUCUUUCCAACUUCUUAAUCCACCUGGGAAGGAAGACAUACCAUUAUGUGCCCGAAUUCCGAAAAGUGUCCAUCGCAGCCACAAUCAUCUAUGCCUAUGCCUGGCUGGUUCCCCUUGCACUCUGGGGUUUCCUUGUGUGGAGAAACAGUAAAGUUAUGAACAUCGUUUCCUAUUCAUUUUUGGAGAUUGUGUGCGUCUAUGGAUAUUCACUCUUCAUUUAUAUCCCCACGGCGAUACUGUGGAUCAUCCCCCAGAAAGUGGUCCGCUGGAUUCUAGUUACGAUUGCCCUGGGCAUCUCAGGCUCUGUCUUGGCAAUGACAUUUUGGCCAGCAGUUCGUGAGGACAACCGACGCAUCGCAUUGGCCACAAUUGUGACGAUUGUGUUGCUUCACAUGCUGCUUUCUGUGGGCUGCCUGGCCUACUUUUUUGAUGCACCAGAGAUGGACCAUCUCCCAACAAGCACAGCUGCUCCAAACCAAACAGUUGCAGCAGCCAAGUCCAGCUAAAGGGGAAAGUGAGAGAUUAUCUUUUCAUCUUCUCGCUAUGAGGUGAUGCUAGAAUCAAAGAAGGUCAGAGCCCUUGGAGAUGGGAUGUGCUUCCCUCCUCUUUUUACAGUAAGGAAGCUGAGGCCGAGAGAGGACAGUGCCCUGCCCAAGGCCAGUUUCCCUUGCUGGACUGUAAGUUUCUUGAGAGUUAGAACCAUGUCUGCCUUAUUCAUCGUAUCCGGUGCCUGACACUUCUCUUCAGUGGGUUUUGGAGUAUGGUUCUUUUGGACGUGGCAUCCAUUGCAGGAAAGCAGAACGACCAAAGCGCGGGAAAACGGAUGGAAUGGCCCCAACCCCCAACAUCUGGGGGGUGCCACACUGAAGCCUAAUCACCUGUUUAACAAACAAAAAUUAAAUGUUGUUGAGUUGAGACGUGUCAUUCAGCUCUUCUCUCACUGUCAGUUGUCACUGUGACUGUGCACUGGUUUAGAGAGAAAUACGAGGGGAUGGGUGAGGCUGCCCAAGUGCCCUGCGUUUGCCUCUCAUGGUCACGUGGUGUGCUUCACGUUAGGUACACCCUUAAUCCCUGAAAUGGAUCCAUCCUAACUCGGGUGUCUUUUCUCUGGAUCGUGUACAGAUUACCUAGGUGAGCCUCUGCUCCUCUUGCCAUCCUAAAGUGGCCAAACAGCAUGAACUUUGGUUGGGAUUCAUUGGGAGCCUGAAGAUUUGUCUUUGGUGACCUGACUCUGGGCAACUGAACCUAAUGGUUGCAAAAUAAAUACAAAAUACAAAAAAUAAUAAUAA